rnacentral:tRNA from 1 species
GGCCCCAUCGUCUAGCGGUUAGGACGCCGGCCUCUCACGCCGGUAACAGGGGUUCGAUUCCCCUUGGGGCUACCA